rnacentral:rRNA from 1 species
UACGUAGGGGGCAAGCGUUGUCCGGAUUUAUUGGGCGUAAAGAGCGUGUAGGCGGCCAGACAAGCCUGCUGUGAAAACUCGAGGCUCAACCUCGAGCUGUCGGUGGAAACUGUCUGGCUAGAGUCCGGAAGAGGAGAGUGGAAUUCCUGGUGUAGCGGUGAAAUGCGCAGAUAUCAGGAAGAACACCUAUGGCGAAGGCAGCUCUCUGGGACGGUACUGACGCUGAGACGCGAAAGCGUGGGGAGCGAACAGG